rnacentral:lncRNA from 1 species
CUCCAUGCUGCAUCCCCCAUACCAUCUAUAUCUAAGGCUGGGGUGUAAAGUAAGAAAUGGUUUUCAACAAGCAUGCUAGGGCCACCACAACUAAUCCCACUGCCCUGCAAGCAUCUCCAGAUGAUUUUGAUGCAGUUGGUCCACAGGUCACAGCCUGAAAAACUCUAAGACCGUCAGCUGAUCAACUACAAUAAUAUUCUCUCCAGCAUUCCAGACAAUGGCUUUCCAACCCCUUUAAGGACUGGGGUUUACUACCUACUCAAGCAGUCCAUUUGUCUUCAGUCAGAUGACUAUUAAAAAGUUCUUUCAUAUACUGGGUCCAAACAGGACUUUCUGAACUUUCUGGCUAUUGUUACCAGUUCUCUUUUGUGCAGCUCAGAGUAUUUCGAGGCCAAUGGCCUGAGCUACAAGUGAUUGAAAGGGCAACUUAGGUUCAGGUGAUUCCUCGAAAGAUUUGGUCCACAUGACUGCUCACUCACCGGUAAAAGGGCUUAAUGUAAGCCAGCUAUAUUGCUGACUGUGCAAGGAUGUGGGGUUGUCUGAGAAUAGCCUUCAAUGGCACUGACUGACUAGGAGAGCCUCAAGAAUACUUUAUAAAGCCCAUGGUUGCGCAGUGAAUCUGGGAACCUGAUAAGAAAAUAGGUUGCUACGGUUCUGCUUAUUAGAGUGGACUCCUAGACCUAAUGAAAAUGCUAAAUUAUAAAUCCAGAAUAAGAACUGGAAUAAAGUUCUCUAGAAUUACUAGAAACAGCAAAAGAAAACUGGAUGAAGACAAUAUUGGAGCUUUUCUACUUUAGCUGACAAGCUGGCACUGUACUGGAUACUGAGAAAAAAGUGGUAAACAAAACUAACAUGGUCUCUACUCUCCUGGAAUUAAAAGUCUAGUGAGGGAUGACACAGUAAACCAUAAAGAAAAUAUUAAACCCUCAGUCAUCUCACCCUUGGCAAAACAAUCUUUCUAGAGCCAAAUACUUGAGGGAUCUCCCUUGGCACAUAGCUUCCUGCAUAUCCUGACUCUCUUCUGGCUGUUCUCUUCCAACCUACAAAGAUGUAAGGUGAAUUUAAUUCAGGACCACUGGAGAAGAGCAGAAGCAGAUCCCUCCUAUCUCUCCAUGACCUCCUCAGCAAGCAGGCCAUGUCCUCCAGCCCACUCCCUGUCCCACUGCCUGCCCAUACAUACUCCAGGAGAACAGUACCUGUUUACGGUCUCUUGGCUCUCUGGAGUGUGGAGUGCUCUCAGAGUUGAGAGGGGAAGACACUGGCAUGCCAUGAGCAGGACUGCCUUGGAGCCAACUCACAGCUGAGCUUCCUACCUGGUCUUCCAGGGAAGGUGGAGCUUCAAGAAGCUUGACCUCCUCAUAGCACCAGCGUAAAGGGCAGUUAACUGUUUGGGCAUCAAAAUAGGCAUUGUGUGAGUUGUUGUGUAUCCCCAGACCAACGUGACAAUAGAAACAAAUUAUUCCUAAGGUUGGGAAAGGUGACUGAGACUCA